rnacentral:rRNA from 1 species
CGGACGGGUGAGUAACGCGUGGGUAACCUGCCUUAUACAGGGGGAUAACAGUCAGAAAUGGCUGCUAAUACCGCAUAAGCGCACAGAGCCGCAUGGCUCGGUGUGAAAAACUCCGGUGGUAUAAGAUGGACCCGCGUUGGAUUAGCUUGUUGGUGGGGUAACGGCCCACCAAGGCGACGAUCCAUAGCCGGCCUGAGAGGGUGAACGGCCACAUUGGGACUGAGACACGGCCCAG